rnacentral:rRNA from 1 species
UACGUAGGUGGCAAGCGUUGUCCGGAUUUAUUGGGUUUAAAGGGCGCGUAGGCGGCUUGGCAAGUGGAUGGUGAAAUCCCUCGGCUUAACCGAGGAACUGCCGUCCAAACUGCUUAGCUUGAGACCGGGAGAGGUGAGUGGAAUUCCCAGUGUAGCGGUGAAAUGCGUAGAUAUUGGGAGGAACACCAGUGGCGAAGGCGGCUCACUGGACCGGAACUGACGCUGAUGCGCGAAAGCGUGGGGAGCAAACGGG